rnacentral:rRNA from 1 species
GGACGAGGCUACCAUGCAAGUCGAGCGGUAGCACAGAGAGCUUGCUCUCGGGUGACGAGCGGCGGACGGGUGAGUAAUGUCUGGGAAACUGCCUGAUGGAGGGGGAUAACUACUGGAAACGGUAGCUAAUACCGCAUAACGUCGCAAGACCAAAGUGGGGGACCUUCGGGCCUCAUGCCAUCAGAUGUGCCCAGAUGGGAUUAGCUAGUAGGUGGGGUAAUGGCUCACCUAGGCGACGAUCCCUAGCUGGUCUGAGAGGAUGACCAGCCACACUGGAACUGAGACACGGUCCAGACUCCUACGGGAGGCAGCAGUGGGGAAUAUUGCACAAUGGGCGCAAGCCUGAUGCAGCCAUGCCGCGUGUAUGAAGAAGGCCUUCGGGUUGUAAAGUACUUUCAGCGAGGAGGAAGGCGUUAAGGUUAAUAACCUUAGCGAUUGACGUUACUCGCAGAAGAAGCACCGGCUAACUCCGUGCCAGCAGCCGCGGUAAUACGGAGGGUGCAAGCGUUAAUCGGAAUUACUGGGCGUAAAGCGCACGCAGGCGGUCUGUUAAGUCAGAUGUGAAAUCCCCGGGCUCAACCUGGGAACUGCAUUUGAAACUGGCAGGCUUGAGUCUUGUAGAGGGGGGUAGAAUUCCAGGUGUAGCGGUGAAAUGCGUAGAGAUCUGGAGGAAUACCGGUGGCGAAGGCGGCCCCCUGGACAAAGACUGACGCUCAGGUGCGAAAGCGUGGGGAGCAAACAGGAUUAGAUACCCUGGUAGUCCACGCUGUAAACGAUGUCGACUUGGAGGUUGUUCCCUUGAGGAGUGGCUUCCGGAGCUAACGCGUUAAGUCGACCGCCUGGGGAGUACGGCCGCAAGGUUAAAACUCAAAUGAAUUGACGGGGGCCCGCACAAGCGGUGGAGCAUGUGGUUAAUUCGAUGCAACGCGAAGACCUUACCUACUCUUGACUCCAGAGACUUAGCAGAGAUGCUUUGGUGCUUCGGAACUCUGAAAAGGUGCUGAUGCUUG